rnacentral:rRNA from 1 species
UACAGAGGCCUCGAGCGUUAGGCGGAAUCACUGGGCUUAAAGCGUGUGUAGGCGGACUUCUAAGUACCUUGUGAAAUCCCACGGCUUACCCGUGGAACUGCUGGGUAUACUGGUUGUCUUGAGCCAGCUAGGGGCGAGCGGAACAGACGGUGGAGCGGUGAAAUGCGUAGAUAUCGUCUGGAACGCCGAAGGUGAAAACAGCUCGCUGGGGCUGCGCUGACGCUGAGACACGAAAGCCAGGGGAGCGAACGGG